rnacentral:rRNA from 1 species
UACGGAGGGUGCAAACGUUGCUCGGAAUCAUUGGGCGUAAAGCGCACGUAGGCGGCCUGUUAAGUCGGAUGUGAAAGCCCUGGGCUCAACCCAGGAAGUGCAUUCGAAACUGGCAGGCUUGAACAUGGAAGAGGGUCGCGGAAUUCCCGGUGUAGAGGUGAAAUUCGUAGAUAUCGGGAGGAACACCAGUGGCGAAGGCGGCGACCUGGGCCAAUAUUGACGCUGAGGUGCGAAAGCGUGGGGAGCAAACAGG